UGUUAUGCUUGAAAGUUAUUUCUGGGAAUCAAAUUGCAAAGUCGAUGUCAUAAAGGAAGCUCAGGGAGGACAGAAGUCUCCUGAGGGACAGAAGGGCAAAAGCUCACUUGAUCCUCAUUUCAUCUCACUAAGAAUACAGACCAUGAGAAUGAAGCCUCAUAAUCCUUCUGGCUUUUUGAGGUCUAAGCAGGAAGCAUAAAAAAAGUUACUACA
rnacentral:ncRNA from 1 species